UCCUCUUAUUCUGUUCUAAAGACAGACUUGGCUUACUUGCUUUGCUGUACUGGACUAGAAGAUCUUGUUAGCUGCCUAUGUAUUUAAAAUCUGAUUGCCAGGAGGAUUUUAGUGACUGAUGAAAUGUAUUAGUAACACAAAAAUAUUUCAUGCAAUAUAUGAGACAUCCUAAAUAGAAACUAAUUUCCUAGAACACAUUUUAUAGUCUAAGUGUAUGGCGACCUUCAAUGGUUUCUUUUCCUGAAGAGGAAUGGAUACAAAAUGACAUAAUUUCAUCAUAGCCUUGAAAGUGAGUGUUCCGUGUCUCUCACAACUUCUUGUCUCUAUCCCUCAAGCAACUCUGGCGAGACUAUUGUGCGACAAAUGCAGUAAAGUAGGACCAGGAAUCAGCAUUUGAAAACGAAGCUAGCUCUGCAAGGACUUUAUAAUUUCUUGUAGGAGAUGCUGCUAUAAAGCUGGGUUGUGGCCAGCUGGCUCCAUUUUGACGCUGCACUUGGGGAAGAGCUACAUACUGCAACAUUUCCUAAGUGCAUGUAUAGAUGUAUCCCUGGCACUCAUUCUGAGAGAGGAAGAAAAUUCAAAAUGGAAUAUAAAUUUCCCUAGGCUUCUAUGUGAACUCCAACUGAGGCAGAAAAGACACCACAUUCUGAGUCGAUUAGAGUAUUUAGCUUCUGAAUUUCUGGAUCAUCGACCUGAAAUUUGAAACACAGUGUUCAUGUAGUCAUUGUUUCCUGGAAAAGAAAAUAAUUACAAGUUUUCAUUUUCUAUAGGAAUUAAGUUGUUUAGUGCAUAUUUUGAAUAGGAGAAACCUCUUUUUAACUAGUUACCUCCAGUUCAAGGUCCUCACCUUGACAUCAUUCCUUCUGUUAUGCUAAGAUUUCACCUCUCUUUUCC